CGUGGACUUUUGGGAGUAGAAUUUAAACAGAAUGAUGAUGCACAUGACAACAAAAACCCAGGAGCACCUGAUCCGCCAGCUAAUUUGAAUAGUCUACCACCUCGUUCACCACCAUCAGCUAAUUUGAAAAGUCCACCACCACCUCAUCCACCAUCUCCUCUGCCACCUCCACCUCCUCCACCACCUCCACCACCUCAUCCACCAUCUCCUCUGCCACCUCCACCUCCUCCACCACCUCAUCCACCAUCUCCUCUGCCACCUCCACCUCCUCCACCACCUCCACCACCUCAGUCACAUCCAAUAUCAUCAUCUUCUUCUUUGAUUAUAUCUCUCUCAGUUGGAGGAGUAGUUUGUUUUCUGAUUGUCCUUUCUGUUAUAUACUUGUACCAUAAACAAACAAAAAAGGUUGUCAGUGUAAUGCCCUUG
rnacentral:lncRNA from 1 species